rnacentral:rRNA from 1 species
UACCAGCACCCCGAGUGGUCGGGACGUUAUUGGGCCUAAAGCAUCCGUAGCCGGUUCUACAAGUCUUCCGUUAAAUCCAACUGCUUAACAGGUGGGCUGCGGAAGAUACUAUAGAGCUAGGAGGCGGGAGAGGCAAGCGGUACUCGAUGGGUAGGGGUAAAAUCCGUUGAUCCAUUGAAGACCACCAGUGGCGAAGGCGGCUUGCCAGAACGCGCUCGACGGUGAGGGAUGAAAGCUGGGGGGAGCAAACCGG